AAAGAAAAGUAAAGGACUAAAUUGUAAAGUUUAGUCACAUUUUGUAUCGAGUACUUAUCUAGUCACUCGGGGAUCGAAGGAAAUGUCGGAGGCCGAUCACACUAUCAAAGAAAUAACUCGGUAUAACUAGACGUUUUGUUUUGGGUAUGGCAUGUAUAGAAACUUAGCUACUUUUGGUAUAAUAUGAAUAAUGAAUGAUGUGUAAA